CAGCCACACGUAUAUUAACAAAAAACAGAAGGACCCUUGACACAACCUUCAACCCCUGUUACCGAGAAACGAACGGUCUCGCGACUCGUGUCUCGCGUGUUGACUCUAAGAAAGAGCCUCACACCACGCGCGUUAACUGGGACAAUCCGAUGGACGCCAGGAAAACCAACAUAUAAACGCGAAGAAUCCCCACUUCCCGCAAGCACAGGGACAAAAUAGACAAACCUGGAUCACUCCUAGAAAUCCUUUUCUCCUAACACAAAACCUCGCCCAGCCAAGAGUCAUGGAGACUCAAGACAACCCAGGAGUCACCGGAAGCCACCAUACGCAAACAAUCCCUACCUCCCAUGAGCACAAGCACAUACCAGACCGCCCAUCUAUUUCUCCUAGAGAUCCUUCUCUCCUAUCAUAAAACCCCGCUCGCCCUGCAUCCACGGAUCUGGAGGAGAGGCCGUCGUUCAAGGACACUGAGGAGGCCAGCAACAGUCGGUCAUAGUGGACAAACCUAUGCCGCGGUGGUGGCCACCUGGAGCUGACCUCAUCAGUAGCCUCCCAGACGGGGUCCUCGGCGAGAUAAUCUAUCUCCUCCCCAUCAAAGAAGGUGCCUGCACCCGUAUUCUCGUGCAUCGGUGGCGCGACCUCUGGUUCGUCGUGCCGCUCAAACUUGAUUGCUGCCAAUUGUGCGGUACUGUCUCAAAGAUCCGAGACCUUACGCCACAUAUCGUAAAGGCUCACCCGGGGCCCGUCCCCCGCUUCUACGUUGCGGCCGACUAGGUCGUAGACCAGCCUGUAACAGCCCGAGAGCAACAUUUUACAUUUAAACCCUUGUUGGACCUGUUUAUAAUUUAUUUAAUGUUGCAUGACAUUUACAUUUGCAUCCAUGCCAUGUCAUAUCUAGUUUUGUUUCACAUGAGUUUAAAAUUUACACUUCAACUUGUUGUUUGAAAUAUUGUUGUUAGAAUUUGCUAGAAGAUUCAAAUAGGAAUCUUCCAUCCUUUUCUUUCGGUGUUUUAAAUUCCUUUUCCAUAUUUUACAAGUGACAUUUAAAUGGGUUUUGUUUUCAACCUUUAAUCCCAUUUGAAUACUUCAAAAUAUUAGUGCCAUAUUUGAAGUCUACUAUUUCUCAGCUCUUCAAAAUGGUAUUUGAAAUUUGAAUCAAAAACUAUUUGCAAAAGAGGAAACAAAAAAAGGAAAAAGGAAAAAAGAAAAAGAAAACCUACCUUUCUUACCUCAGGCCCAAGCCGGCCCAGCAGCCGCCUCGGCCCAGUCUCCCGCGUGCCCCGCAGCCCGGCUCAGCCCCGCCGCCCCGCGCCGCGCCCGCGUUCUGCCUCCCUGUGUCAAAGACGUAAACCCAUAAAUGCGCCUUGUCUCAGAGUCAUCUUCUUCCUCUCUGCUUUUCUUCCUCAUGGCCGGUGGAGCCGCCGCGCGCCACGUCGUCGACGACAGCGACAGCCGCUCCGCUCCACCUUUAUAAGCUGCGUCGCGGCUCCUUCCUUCCCCAGCGCAAGGCAAACCCUAGUUAGGGUUUCCUCUUCCCCUUCUCUGCGCCGCCGCCGUCGCCUGUUCCAAGCCGUGGACGUCGCCGCGUCGCGCCGCCGCCUCUGACCGAACCGCGACGAACCGACCGCGUCACCGGCUGCGCCUCGUCUUCCUCUACGCGCGCGUGCAAGCAAUUGGGUUGGGAUCGACCACAGCGCCGCCUACUUCAUCUUCUUCCUCUCCGGCGGCCGCCACUUCUCCGGCCAAAUUCCGACGAGUCAUUCACCGGAUCUUCGUCAGCUUCCUCCUACCACUUCGGGGUGAGCUCCUCUUCCUCCUGCUCCUUUCCGCGCUCGUUUUGGUGCUCCGUAGCGUCUAGCCAUGUGCGCACGCUCCGGCUUGCUGCUGGCGAGCCGCUGCUCGUCGUCGCGCCGCCGUUCUUGCUAAGGACCGUGUGGUGGCCUUCAUGCCAUCUAGCUCUACUCCGCGCGCCGCCUCUCUUUCCGCCGUUAGUUCGUCCUCCGUGCGCCGUGUGGUCACCACCGGCGCCCGCAAGCUGCUAGCUUGGGUUGGUUCAAAAGGACGUGAGCCCUUGAUCUGUUGAGAUUCGAGUUCUUACCGCAGUGGCUUGCUUCCUCAGCGUUGGAUCUGACUGGCGCGGGUUCGAGUUCCCCUCGCGUGAGGGUAAAACCCCCAAUUUUUGUGCUUUAAUCGGCCACUGACAAGUGGGCCCCAUGGACCCACCUGCCAGUCGCCUGGUGCACCGUUGCGCCCGGUGGACCGAGUCCAUGCACCGGGUUUGUUUAGGAUUUCUUUUUGGAUUUUGUUUAAAUUCCAGAAAUGUGUUAAUCUUGUUUAAUUCAUAGUAAAUGCAUGCUAAAUCCCAAUUGGGCAAACCAUAUAUGUUUUGGAAUCAGAAAAAUGUAAGGAAUUUAACUGUUCUGUUAGUUUUCCAUUUUGACGUUUCGAAUUUCAAAUCUGUCCCAGAUUUGAAAUUCAAACAUAUGAACUUGUUUAGUCUCUAUUUUAGAACUGGUAGCUCAUCUGUAAUUAAUGUAAACACCAAAGUUGAUCCUUGUAACUUAUAGAACACAGUAGCAUACUUGGUUAGGCCCUAUGGGUCCUUUAAAGCUGUUGUUUAUUUUAGUUAAGUCACCUAAUGGUUAACUUUGUUGCUAAUGGAAUCAAUUCAUUGCAUAUUGUUGCCUCAUGUUGUCACAUGCCAUUUCAUGUUGUAUUGUGCAUUGCACCUAUGGAUUGUUACUUAUUUUUGUAUUCGGUGAUUUGGUUCUUUACAAUAGCGACUCCGACUUACUCCGUCGACGAUCCGAGUUCCCACACUUCUUCGGAUCCCCUCUCUCGGUGCCCAGCGACCGAGAAUCCAG
rnacentral:lncRNA from 1 species